rnacentral:lncRNA from 1 species
UUUUUUUGUUUUUUUUUGUUUUUUAAUGUUUUUAAAUUUUUUUGUGUUUUUUUUUUGUUUUUGUUGUUUUUUUUUCUUUUGCAGAAUAAAGAACCUUACAGAAGGCUGUGGAAGAGCAGUCUGAGAUCUGAAGUACUAGUCAAGUCAGCUAUGUGUAUGUGAGUUUCUCCAAGAAAACAAGAAUGUUGCAUCCAAUCUGUAGCCUUCUGUCUCUCCACAAGCUAGAAUACACUCCAGUCUCCCCUAAAGUGUCUUUCAAUAGUUGAUUCCUGCACUCUUGCUUUCAUUAUAAUCGCCCUUACAGGAACGUAUCUUUAUAAAUGCAAAAACUUCACCCUGACUCUCUCAGGUGAUAUUACAGUGGGGUCUAGUCUGGUUAAAAAUGAAUUUUUAAAAAAGGAAAGAAAAGAAAAAAGUAGGAGCAACAUGAUAGAAUGUUUGAAACUGUGUCAACAGAGAUGAAAAAGAAAAAUCUUAGAAAAAUUAUCAUUCAAUUUUAUACUUCUCUAUGUAGUUAGCAUGUGAAUUCCAAAUUAUACAUUGUCAAGUUUUUAUACAUUUGGCUAUGUUGUAUAUAUAUAUAUAUUAUAUAUAUAGUCUAUAUAUUAUAGAUCUUCUAGAUAAAUUGACAGUAAAGGACAUACUUAUACAGUAUUUUGCUGGGUUAAAAAUAAAACAUAUGUCUAUUUAUAUGGUGAGUGUUUUGCUAGAAAUUAGUAUGAAUUGGGCUUUAUUUCCCUUUCCUUCAGGAGUCAUGCUUCUAAUCAAUAAGAUUAGAAUGACAACUAAAAAUAUAUGUUUUUAAAUGUCUGUUAAACUGUCAACUUUGCAGUUCAUUUGGAUCUCUAGACUGUAGUGCAAGAGUAAAAACAAAACAAAACAAAACAGCACAAAUAAAAUGGGCCUAACUAGGAAAAAGAAACAACCACAGAGUAUUCUCUGCCUCCAGCCCAGAAUGUUCUUCAUGAGAGCCCAACUAGCAUGCUCUCAUUUGAGCUUACUUGAAUAGUGUGUGGCUGUGCAGUGUCAGCUGCCUGUGCUCUGGGUUUGAGAAAUUCAUAUCUUUCUCUUUAGGAUGCAUUUACUUUCAUCAGGAAAUGCAAACAAAUUGUUCUUUCAUUAAGUUAAACUUCAGAACUACAAAUCGAUGAAGGCAUUCUUUGUAUUCAGCUGAACUAUGUACCCAAUAUCUCCGUGUUCUUAUUAAGAAAUGCCAAAAUGUUUCUCUUAGAUUUACUGUUCAUUGGUGCUAACCUUUUGGGUUUUUCCUCUUUCUUUCCAAAAACUUUGGAAGUUGUAAAGAGAGUAAUAAUAGUUCAAGGCAGUAUUAAAACCACAGCUGUAAGUGAUAAAAAGUGCAUUUCCUGAAUAUAAUACAAAUAUAACUUUAAGAAACUAAAGGCACAAACUAAAUAAAUAUGUAUUACAAACUAGAAAUGCACAGUUCAAGGUAAUUACUAUUAAGUAAAAGCUUCAAAUAUUUGUUUCUAAUGGAUAUUUAAAGCAGUUUGAAAAUGAUACAUCAGUGAAUUGCAAAAAAGUAUAAUAAUCGCUUAAAAUAUAAGCAAAAUAGACUCUAAUAUUGACAUCUUGGAUUAGUGAUAAAAUACAUCAUCACAUUUAUGAAUGCACUCUCUAUAUACAGUUCGCAAAUUAUUUUUCCAUUGAUUUAAAAGAAAAUCAGAGGUUCUAGGAAUUUAAGGUCCAUUUUUAGGUUGGUGUGGAGGUAUUCAAAUUUUCAACAAGUUUGUUCAUAAUUUUAGAAUCCCAUCUUAAAUAAAUACUGUACCACUAACGCAGGCCUGAUUCAGAAAAAAGAAAAGCAAUAAUAUGAUUGUAGUCUAUAUUAGUAAUCUCUUGAGCUGGUGUGCUUCCAAUUAAAAAGAGAGAGGAGGGGCACCUGGGUGGUUCAGUUGGUUAAGCAUCUGCCCUGACCUCAGGUCAUGAUCUCCUGGUCCUGGUCCUGGUCCCGGUCUUAGGAUCAAGCCCAGCAUUGGGAUCUGUGCUCAGCGGGGAGUCUGCUUCUCCUUCUCCCCCUCCGCCUGCCCCUCCCUCCCCUCAUGCUCUCUGUCUCUCUCUCAAAUGAAUAAAUAAAACCUUUAAAAAAAGAGAGAGAGGAGCUCAUCAUGAAUUCUCUCUCUUUCGGAAUACAUGUGUAAGAAUGUGGUAAUCUCAACCUGAUGUUUUUGAAAAUGAAAUGUCUGGAUAUACCUUCCCCUGCUGUGCAGAUCCUUGCCUUUCCCUUAUUCUACUUGGUGGAGUAAGGAGUCAGACUCUUUAAAACCUUAACCUGAGCCUGAAUUCUGACUUUGCAUAUUUUCAAAAAAACUGCCAUCACAAAGCAGGGCAAUGACCCCCACACUGCAUUUAGGUAGUAGCUGGAAAGAAUCCAAACUGUAACAUUCCAUCAUAAAUUUUCCUUCAGACAUAGCAAAUGUGCAGACCCAGUGAUGAAAGUGCUGAAGCUGGCUCAGGGGAAUUUUCAACAGGCCACAUUGUGCUGUCGUGUAUUUUCAUUUGUGGUAACGUACAAUUACACAGCGUUUUACAAACUGUCUCUUUGUCACUGGGCACAAAUCUCACAGCUAACGAAGGGGCUUCUUUUUACUACAGGAUUCAUAAAGAUUGAGAAACUGCAGCUGAUAUUAACACUAAUCCUGAUCUUUUUCCAAAGUUUAACUGAUCAUGGAACAAAAUUACCCUUCCUGGAAAAUAGUUAUUUUUCUAGGCAGGACAGAUGAUUAAAUCAAAAUAAAUGGGUGAAGACAGAGAUCUAAAAUAAAUAACUGCAUAAAUUAUUUCAGCAAAAAACAGUCUGCCUCUCUAUAAUUAGUUGAAAUGUCUGAGAUCGGAAAGGGUUCACUUAAUUAAAUUUCCUUACUGUGGCUGGGAGAUGGUCAAUGCAGAAUUGUACAUUUGAAAGAUAAAUCCAAGGGGGAUGAAUCAAUGUGGCAGCAACUACUGUGAUGUUUGGUUUGGUCUUUCCUUUGGUACUUUCCUUUCGUCUUAGUACUAGGUCUGUUUGUUUGUUUGUUUUGAAAGGUUUUGGCUCUUGUGAAUUUCUGCAGUAGUAGUGAACAUAUUUAUUGGCAUGUCAGGCAUGCAUGCCUGCUGACGCCUCUUUUUUCUUUUUCUUUUUCUUAUUUUGUACCAGAAUCAUUUGUAGUAAAUUACCUUUCGUGUGCACAAAGCCAUUGGAUUAGUGUAUAAAUACGGAAUCACUAACGUGAAACUAUGACC